GGGGAAUUUUGGACAAUGGGCGAAAGCCUGAUCCAGCAAUGCCGCGUGCAGGAAGAAGGCCUUCGGGUUGUAAACUGCUUUUGUCAGGGAAGAAAUCUUCUGGGUUAAUACCUCGGGAGGAUGACGGUACCUCAAGAAUAAGCACCGGCUAACUACGUGCCAGCAGCCGCGGUAAUACGUAGGGUGCGAGCGUUAAUCGGAAUUACUGGGCGUAAAGCGUGCGCAGGCGGCUUUGCAAGACAGAGGUGAAAUCCCCGGGCUCAACCUGGAAACUGCCUUUGAUACUAUUAGCCUUGAAUUAUGUUGAGGUUGGCGGAAUAUAACAUGUAGCGGUGAAAUGCUUAGAUAUGUCAUGGAACACCGAUUGCGACGGCAGCUGGCUAACCAUAUAUUGACGCUGAUGCACGAAAGCGUGGGUAGCGAACA
rnacentral:rRNA from 1 species